rnacentral:rRNA from 1 species
GAUGAACGCUGGCGGCGUGCCUAAUACAUGCAAGUCGAGCGAACAGACGAGGAGCUUGCUCCUCUGACGUUAGCGGCGGACGGGUGAGUAACACGUGGAUAACCUACCUAUAAGACUGGGAUAACUUCGGGAAACCGGAGCUAAUACCGGAUAAUAUAUUGAACCGCAUGGUUCAAUAGUGAAAGACGGUUUUGCUGUCACUUAUAGAUGGAUCCGCGCCGCAUUAGCUAGUUGGUAAGGUAACGGCUUACCAAGGCGACGAUGCGUAGCCGACCUGAGAGGAUGAUCGGCCACACUGGAACUGAGACACGGUCCAGACUCCUACGGGAGGCAGCAGUAGGGAAUCUUCGGCAAUGGGCGCAAGCCUGACGGAGCCACGCCGCGUGAGUGAUGAAGGUCUUCGGAUCGUAAAACUCUGUUAUUAGGGAAGAACAAAUGUGUAAGUAACUAUGCACGUCUUGACGGUACCUAAUCAGAAAGCCACGGCUAACUACGUG